CUACAAUUUAAUUUCUAUGCAAGAAGCUAAUCUUGUGUGGAAAAAACACAUUUUUGCACUAAAUGUAGCUGUUUCCAGUACCUGAUUCAUCUCUUUGCUUUGUCCAGUGCUCAUCCUCUUACAUCCCUUUGUUCUUCUUAGCGUAGGCUUUGGAUCACCUCGUGGGCCAUCUCCCUCAACAGCCUUCUGCUCUUUCCUAUUCCUACCCAAUCUAUUCCCGUCCAUAUGAUACUCGAAUACUACAAGAGAAAGGGCUAAUAGGUAAAACCUAAGAGGCACGCAUUUCUUCGCUCAUAGCAAAGAUCUUCUGAAUGAGCAUAACCAAAAGAGCGCUACUGUGAUGGAAGAGGUCAGCCCAAGAUGAAGUGAACGGCAACCAAGUUUGGGGAUGUUUGUGCAUUCUGGGGCUGUCUUUGACCAGUAACUUCAGCAUUCCCAGUUUGAGAUACUCAUAGGAAGUAGUUCUCCUGAGCUCUGUGCUAAAAUGGAGUUUGUUCCUGCCCUUUGAUCUGCAGCCCUUCUGCUCAUCUCAGAGUAAGUCAUCCCAGUGCAUGGCUUUGCCUGGGAGCUAACUUUUAACUGUUUAAAGCUGCAACACCAAAGUAAAGCUGAGUCCCAUGAUAUUUGGUCACAGCAAGAAAUCAGCUUACUGGUGCGAUCAGCGUAUCUCUCUGGUCUGGAGAGAGGCACAGCUUAGGGCGUCCAUCCCUCACAGCUUUGCCAACUGUGGGAAGAUGUUGAUGGCUUUCUAGUCAAAGCCACCAGAACAGCAGUCCUUAAAGCAUUGAUGAACAAAAAUAAUCGCUUCUGCUUCAAGCCUGAAUCACUGGAUUUAACCUGCAGAUAAAUAAGUUUGGACCUGUCCCACAAAGAGUCAGCUGUGCUCUGUUUUUUGUGUGUGAUCACAUGAGAGGAACCAGAUCGUACAGGUGUGGUCAUACAGCAGAGAAAUAUCUGGAAGAAUCACUCAAGAGGUUCAUCUUACACCCCCCUAACGUAUGGACACAUACAUACCCAUUCACCCUCCUGCAAAAUGAACGCAGCUCUUUACCCUGACGUGUAUUCAGGCCUGGGCUGGAAUUGGCUGUCAGGACCCUGAGGGCACUAAUUGGUCUUAAUGGCCCUGAGCAGCCUCAUCUGAGACCUCCCCCCCCCACCCAUGGGCCCUGGAGCCCUAUGUCAGUUCAGCUGUAGGAGUCCUCCUCUCCAGCCUAUACAUCUGCUCCUGUGCACCCAACACGAUGAAAAGUUAUGGUGCUCAUGGGAGGCAACAGAAUUCAGUCAACAUCGCUUUGAGCCUGACUGUAAUUAAUCCUGCUAAUUAGCCAGGGGCAUGUAUCUGCUUUCCCCCCCUCCCCAUAUCUCCCAGGGUGUGAAUCUGCAUUACCCCAAAUGCAGGGAGCUUGCUGUAGGAAGCAACGUGCAGAAGAUGCCUGGGAGGAGAGGAUAUUGAUGCAGAUAUCAGGUACAGCAGCUCUCCUCUGGGACCCGCACAGGAAAACUCGGAGACAGUCCCUCAGGGAUUCAAACAGGCUGAUAUCUCACAGUUUUAACCCCCGGCACAACCAGUAUAGCAAUGAACAGUAAAAAGAGCAAACGAUGGUGCCAACACCUAUCCUGUCCUCUACUCGUUUCCUUUCUUAUGGGUAGUCUGAAGAGAUGCUCCAUUGGUCUGGGAAAGCUCUGUACCAGCCCGAGAGGAACUGCAUACAGGUAAUCUUGCAGGGACCCCACGCUACAAACCCUCCAGCAAUUCCAAGCUGGGUCCCACCAAAAAAUGGGCUAGGCUAGAAAAUAGUAAAUGUUUGAGUACUCGCAUCUGCCUGUGCGCAUCUGCAGCCACGUCCCUUCCCACCUGUCAGGACGGGUGAGCGGAGGAACAGGAUUGUUUAAAGCACGGGGGGGUGCUGGGACUCUUCCGUCCCGUUGGAGGAGGGGAUGUCUCAGAAAGCAUCUCUGCGCUGCAAAGCCAGAUCACUGCUGUUCCCACGAGCCCGUGCUGACCCUGCACUUGAUGGAUUUUUUUUUUUUUUUUUUUUUUUUUUUGCUCGUAACGCUCUUAUCAGCUGGGGCCAACCGAAGUCAAGCUGGCUGGGGAUGACAGGGUGUUUGCAGCUCUGACUUCUGAGGCAUGGGGAGUUUCACGACAGCAGUCACAAAUAGAAAGGGAUGCUUGCCAGCUUCUUCUCUUUGAAGGUUGUCCAUUAUGUCCUAGUGUCAAUUCUGAGGGUGCAUGUGUGUAUGUGACUUCCUGCUUCACAUCUCAUAAAUUGGAGCUUGCUGCGAGCAGAAGCCCCUUGUCAUCUUCAGGUUCCUUAGAAUUCAGACUGCAAACCAUCGCAGUUCAGGGUAACUGUACCCCUCAUGGGUGGAGGAAGCCAUUAAGGAAGCCCCAGAAACUGUGAACAUCUCUGUACUCCAAAGAUGUUGCUGAAACUGGUGUGAUGGGAGGAUGUUGACUCUGACCUUGACAGAAAGAGGACCUGUUUCUCCAGAAACCCCAAAAAUCUUAAGACUUUUCCAGAGACAGAGGGGAAGCAUCUACCAGGCAUCAGACUGGUGUUCAAUCCAGCUUGGCAUUGCCAGUGAGAUGCAAAGGGAGUAUCCAGCCUUCAGCGUUGCCUUGCAGGGACAAUAGUAUCCUCUGCGUACUCCAUCUACUAGGUGUUUUCUGUCAGACCCUUCUGAAGAUUUGAGUUAACUUUGGUUUUCCGAUUUCUUCCCCUGCCCCUUGUUUUGUUUUGGUUUUUAUCAAAAUUGGAACCCUCUGUGGAAGUGUUUCGGGUCUGGUGACAAUGCUCCUCUUGUCCCCAUUGGGGUUUGUGGUCUGCAGCGAGAGCAAAUCCAGUAGCCUUGUGCAUGCAGCACUCCUGGAAAGCGGAGCACCCAACUUCAAGUCCUCUGCCAAGCUUGGGCCAGGGGUUUGGAAUGGCACCUUCCUGCGGUGAGCAUGGCUCUCUGCUCGACUUAGUAUUUAGUUACCUAUAUAAAGAGGAAAUGUGGUGGUGAGAGGAUGGGAAACGCCUGUUUGAGACAGCCUGGUGGUCAGGGACCCCCAGAGCUGGGGGGCCGAGGUCCAGAUCUUUGGUCUGACUUGGGACAGUGGCUUGUUUGCCUGGUGUGCGUAGCAGGCAGUGAGCAACCAGGGCUCAGGACACUUGUUCUUCAGCUGGCUGAGUUGUCAUUGUGGUUCUGAUGUUCUUACAAAACAACACACAAUAAAACAGUGGGCUGAGCCCAGUGCAGGGGCACAGGCAAGGGGUGUUUAGUUCAGAAAAGUCUGUGGAAAACAGACAAAACUCACGGUAUUGAAGGAGAGGAAACAUCCCCUGACAUCCCAUAACAAGAAAUCCUCAGGUCUUGUCAAGGCUGAUAGUGGAGCCCUGGAACUGAAUGGAGGCUGCUGUGCAAAUUUGUUCUCUAAACCAGCUUUGGUCUAUGUCGGGCUAGGACAUGGGCGGCAGCCAACCGAACAAAAGCACAAGGCAGGAGAAAAAAAAUACUAACUAUAACAGUUGUAACCUAUCAAUAAAAGUAAAUAGGGGUAAUUUGGUAUUUCUUCUCUGCCCUGGGAAAGUGCAGGGAAACUUCCAGCUCGUUCUGGGUGUGAUUGUUUCAGGAUAAAAACCAUCCAUAAGGCUGGUCUGUCUUAAUGCGUUCAGAAAGUAGCCCAUGGCAGCAUCUUCUCUGGGUACCCCCAAAAGUUUAGUCCCCUCUUGGGUUUGACUUUGGGAUGGGUAGAACUGAAGAGAGCUGUGAAAUACUCUGCCAGAUGACAUAGCACAUUUUACCAAGGUUUAAAAAAAACCAAACAAAAAAAUAAAAAUUGGCUGUAGAUGGAUGUAAAGGAGUGUUUUGGGUCCUCCUGGUGAAGCUGUACCAAUCUGCAAGUGCAGUCCCACCCUUUAGGACCACAAGGGCAGGAUUGCUGCUGUCAAAAUGGGAGGUGACCCAAAGCGUGGGUGCUGCACUGCCAGAGGAACGUCGCUCUUCACCCAGGGCUCUGCUGCAGCUCCCAGAUCAUGGAGGUCCCUGCUCUCCUGGACAGACGUGGAACUGUGCUUCCCUUAGAGGUUCAUAGGUUGGUCUGUAGCUGAUCUGGUGGAUGGUUUGGAAAUGUGAGUGUGGCACAGGCAGCGUUUGAGCUCCAGCUUCUGAGCUCUUCCAGGCUAGCCAGGUGUGCUGCUGGGGUGGGCACGUGGCUUUGCAGUGUGGGACAAACAGGAGAUGGUGCUGACUGUGUAGGUGUGAGCUGAUAUUAUACGAUAACAUAUACUAGAGGAUUAAUUUUUUUCAUCUGGAUUUUGUACGUCACGAGGUGCGUCUCCUUGAGCUGUUUUGGGAAGAUCUCAUAUGAAUGUCCAUAGAAGGCACUGAUGCUAUUAGCUAACAAGCCUGAUUAAAGGUAGGCUACUGCGUCUGGCAGCAGAGCCGAGACGUAAAUAUUGUAUUAAUUUCCCUUUACCGGCUCUUUGACUGAAUUCUAAAUGUUGUUGGCUUUAAAACUAACAAUAUUAUAGGGCUUCGUAGAGCUGAGCAAACUCUCCUGCCCUGUGUAAUGGCCACAGCCUUUAAAAUAUCCUUUGCGUAUUUAUGUGGCAACUUUAUUAAUUUGAUAGAAAAUGAAAAUGGAUUUGGGAUUUUGUUUAAUGUCUGAAUGUUGCUUAUUAUCUUCAUGUGUUUUUGAGGAGCUGUUUCUUUCAGAUUGAGACGUGGAAGCUGUGAAUUUUUUUACUUCAGGAACAACCUUCCUGGGGUAUUAGAAGUCAGAUAAAUUAAAGUAAAUCCUAGCACUGUCAGUACACAGAUCCAGCCACUUCAUGUAAAGCCCACAGAGAAUUUGGGGAGAUCACCAGAUCCUCCUGUGAUCUUGCCAGCCUGGGAAGGGGACAUUGGCUGAUCAGCUGGUGGAAAUCCUCGUUGACUUUGGCAGGACAACACAGCAGAGGAGCGACCACAGCCGCAGUACCCAGAAGCUCAGUGAUAACUUUUCUGGACUAUUUCCCAGUCUCUCCUACCUUCCAUUCCCUCACUCUGCUUAACAAGCUUCUGAGAAAAGUUUGGACAAAUGGGUUGUUGCUCCUGAAAUAACUGCAGAUAAUUAUAUAAAGAUUAAUGGCCUCUUCUUGAAGAAUCACCAAUGCAGGCUUCAUCUUCUUCAAGUACCGAUGACCUUUCCAGGAAAUGGGAAUGAGGAAAUGCAGUGGGAGAUGGAUUGGGUAAACAAAAUGUAAUUUAGACUCUUUAAAAUUGAGGAGAGCAAGACUGAUGCAAUUCCCCAUGUUCAAUCCGUACCACCCCCCCACGCACACACACUGCAGUUUGCAGACAGUGUUAGCUGGCUGUUUACCAGCGAUAAACUCAGAAAGGGUAAAGUGCAAAAUGCCUCAAAGGCAGCGGAAAAAAUGUAUUUGGAGUAAGAGAAGGUGGAGUAAAACGCAAGUGUGUAUGACCUCUGACAGAGGAUGCUUUCUUCCCAUAGUCUGAGCUUUGGUCACCCCUGGGGAAAGUGAGUAAAAGCCAAAGAUGCAGCGAGGAACUCAAGACCUGCUUCACUUCGGGCUUUGCUGAUAACUGAUAACUUUCAACAACUUGGUAGCCAGUUCAGGGAUGAGCUGCAAAUAACCAGAAUUUAACGUAGGUGGUAGCUAACUUACAACUGGCCUGUUCUGGCGCGUGCUGGCUUCAAACUCGCCCUUUGAAACUGGACCCUGCUAAAGAAAAACAGGUUCACGAAUGCCAUCAAAGAAAACUAAGAAGUCCCAACUGCCAAAAGAAGAUCUGACCCUUUUAUUAAGAGGUCUGCAGUGACACGGAGGAGGCUUUGUAUAAUAACCAGCUGAGUUUUAUUGCUCAGGAGCCUUGUGAGGGGAUCGUGCCACCAGCUGAAUCGUGGUACGGUGGUGAGAGCCUUGCAGAUGGGCAGCCCCACGCCAUGGUGCGUGAUGGUUUUCUUUGGGCCAGGCACUGGGCUCUUGAAAUGAAUGUCCCCAAAACAGUUUGAGAAAGAAAAGAGUUGUCAUGAACCUUCUCAUCCCUGUUAGUAAUUAUCUUGCUGCUGCAAGGUCAUCUUGAAGGAAGAGGUAGCAAAUGCACUUAGUGCACAUGCACAAAGCUAGCUUUAUAAAUUAACUGUCAGUUAAAAAUCCAUUCAUCUGCAGAAGUAAACAUCCCAUUUAAAUGCCCCAAGGUUGUCUUCAUGCCAACAGCAGGUAGCACUCCUCAGUUCCAUUCCUGAACUUAAUGCCGCUAACCUCCAAGUCCCUUUGGAAACCCUGGCUGCUAUCCUAAACGUCCCACUCGUGUCUAUGAACGUCUGUUCCAACCAGAGCAGCCAACUUGUCCUUGCUAGCUUCAUGCUGGAGGGGAUGGGCUAAGAGAGGCAACGCAAAACUUGCCCCCCAGAGCCAAGGGUGAGUCAAGUGACAUGGGUGUACGGAGGGGUGUAGAGAAGGUCUUCAUCCUGCUGGAGUGGAGCUGGGAUAAUACUAAAAGGGGAAGGGAAAGAAAAAAAAUUACAAAAAAAGGAGUUGCCUUGUAAAUGAAGGAUGGCCUGGAGACAAAACCCAGUCACGUGUGUUAGGACUGACUGGUUUCAUGUGAGGCUCCUCAAUAGUGUGUCUGUGCGGAGGAGACACUGGCCCUCUGUGGACGGCUGCACGUCCCAGCAGAGCUGCUGGGUCACAAGCAGCACAUGUGACUGGAGACUGUUACCCCAGCGUGGGGCCCACCAUGGCCAAUCCAUCUCCGUGGUGGAGGUAAGGACAGCGUGUGUGGGGACAUCCUGUCUCGGGAAGCCUCUCCCUGCUCCGUUAACUCCCGCAAGCAGGAGCGUUAGAGAGGGAAAGGAAAUGUUGGGUUGUUUUGGGGGGUUUUUUUUGAGGGCUUCAUGUUAAAAAUACUCCCAAUAUCCCAUCUUAGGCUUUUAAAAUGUUUUCUGGGGAGCUUUGUGGGCACAGGAGCUGUGCAACAUGGUUCUUGCUGCUAUGGGCUGAUGGGGAGAAGGCUUUUCUUGUGGACGCUUCUCAUUUGUCACCCACAAAUCUCCUUUCGGAUUUACAAUAGGACAGCAGCAUAUGGGCAGUAGCUGAUGCCCUCUGUUUAGCUGCUAAACAUAUGAUGGGAGGUUCCUUUAUGCUGAGAUGUCUUUCCACUAAUGAAUGCACCAUGGACUCUGAAAAUACUCACUUUGCUAGCAGGUGUUGACAGCCUCUGGAAGGAAGGACCUGGUUCAGAGAGCUGGGACGCCACAAGAGUCUCACCACCCAUUUGAAGCAGAUCAAAGAUGGGAGAAGGAAAGAGCACCAACAGAGAGCAGAUGAAGUGUAAGUCAGGUGGAAGAAAGGUGUCUUGGUGCUAUGAUAAAAAGCUAUAGGAGAAAACAACUUCCUACACUGAGCCAGGGACUUUAUCACAGUAAGUACCUGGACCUUCCCAGACUCUCUUCUGUCUCCUUCGCUGUAGAUAACCAUCAGUCUUCUCUGAUCUUCCUCACCUGCUCUUCCUCACAUGUAAGAAAUCUUAUGCAGCAGGGAAUCCCAGAAAGCAUCUUGUCCAUCACCCACACACCAUUGUCUAUCUUGUUCUUACAACCCACUGUGCUGAAGAUGUCCUGGCAUCCAGAAGGUGCAUCCAAAUGCUUCACAAGACUUUUCAUUCAAAGUUUUUUCCUAUGGCAGGGUGAAAACUUGGGCAAGCACUUUUGUCUCUCCUGGAGAAGAUGCCUCCCAGAGUAAGAGCCUGCCUCCGGUCAAUGGAGGCAGGAUGGAGUCUUUGAAGAUCUCAGAGGGACAUACUCUCUGCAUAAGAUUAGGCGAAAGUCAGUGUUAGAGGAAAUGAAUCCUGCAGCCAGGUGCUUGUUCCCCAUCCUGUGCGGUUUGGUACACCCAACGUGUUGUCCCAGUCACAAAAGUGGUGUCAGUACCCACCGAGUAAUCCUCCCCAGGUGGUGGAUUAGUCAGAGCUUCCAUAUCAUGACUCCUUGGGAUGUGCCUGCUAUUCCUGUAUGUCCCACAGAUAUAUUUGUCGUUGGCAUCACCUGUUUUUAGGUAACUAAGUCAAGGUCCUAGCCCUGCUUGCUAAUUAAUGGGAGCUCUGAAUCUCCUGGCACUGAAUUGGCCACAGUCGAGUGCCGCAGAGACUUCAGGAGUCCCGCAGACUGACCAACAAUUUCAGCUGUGUAGAAUAAGGUGGCGGGAAUGCCUUCCUCCCAACAACCCACCUGGCCCCCCCAGCUUGAGGGGAUGCUGUCCUAGCUGUGCCUGGCACAUGCAGGGUGCAGCGUACAGGGAUCUCGCUGGUGGAGGGCUGAGAUGAGCCCCCAGCGCUUUCCACUUGAGGUAGUGAGAGUAGAAUGACAAUUUAAAAUAAACCCCAGGAACCUAAUCCACCCUCCUAAACUUUGAUGGGACAGUGGUAUUGCUCAGAGGGUAAACUGGGUCCUGCCUGUUUAUUUUAAGCUGAAAGCCAAAAUGAUCGUGCUAGUUACUUAAAAGAAAAGUUUGUUUCUGUGCUCUGCUAAUUAACAGCCUCUGAGAGGCACCCAGAACGUAUCUCUGGGACCCAGAGUGUUGCAAAAACAUGGAAAGGUUAAUUGAAGGCAAUGGGAAAACAAGAAUCCCAGCUUUAACCUUCUUGGUCUGCCCUUGUUAUGCUAACAGCAUGGCGCAGGCAGAUUUAAUGACUCCUCAUUACCCUGCUACCUAAUUAACCUUCUGCCCUGAAACACAGAGGCUCUAAAAAAGAACCUCCCUGCCCAGGAACCUCUUCUGCCAGCAGCCCCCAGGGUUAAAGCAGACAUCUCCAGCGUUGCCAGGCUCAAAUCCCUGCGUGGCUUCCAGAUGAUUCCCAUUAAACAGAGAAGAAGGACAGCGGUUGGUGUCUCUCUCUAUUGGGAUGGCUUCGUGGCAGCUCGCGGUGUUGGCUGUAGGACAAUCUGCCCAUCGUCCCCGGUGCCGAGAUAGAUGGGAGCGGUGUGGCCCCCAGGGAGAGAGCUGGCACCAGGCUGCCACUGGAACCUGCAAAACUGCAGCUUGUGAUGGAACUGGGGAUGGAGACGUGUGAGAGGCACCCAGCCAUCAGGGUGUCCAUAACAGUCCCUCCAAGGGAUGGAGUUGACCAGUUCGGGUGAGCUCAGGGAUUGUCCAUCUCUGUGGUGAGUUCUGUCUGGAGCCAGCCUGGCCUGUGGCCGUUUCUCCUCCCCGUCCACCGUGUCUCAUCAGCGAGGUUUCUGUGCAGGCUCUGUCACCCUGGGCAUCACCUGGAAAGAGGAAGAGGAGCUGGACCCAAGCCCAGGUCUUGGCAUCUCAGACAACCCCAUGCCCUGUGCCUCAGCAUCUCCUGCUGCAGCCCCAGGAAGGAGAGGACAACUCCUGGGAGACGAGGGCUUGCUCGUGGUCUGCUGGGGGCAGAACCUGGGGGAGGAUGCUUGAGCACCUGGCGGGCUCAGGGCUUAAAUUUCAAGCUGCACCUGCCUGUUUGUCUGCCUGGUCCCAGCUCAGGAGCCAGAUCACAGAAGUGCAGGAGGACCUGAACCUCCUCUGUCUGCUGCAGAUGAAGGAAAAGGUGAGUGGGAAAUAUUUUGUCUCCUCAGCUGGAUCCGGCUUCCUUCCCCUUUUCCUCCCCCUUCUCCAGCCCCAUCUUUUACAUCUGUUGUACGUGAAAUCCAGCAAACUCUCAGCAGAGCUCAUUACUCACAGCCCAUUGCUCUGAAGAGGGCCGAAAGGUCCUGCACGUAAUGAUUUGGAGGUGAUUUGUAUUUAAGACGCUUGGCUUUCAGAUGCUGGCAGGGGGAGGGGAAAUUAAAUAAUUGAAAGCUAGUGGGGAAGGGAAGGAGAGCGAGCCCCGGACAGAGGGAGAGGACAAGGGCUUCUCAUGAUCCAGAAGUGUUUUGGCUCACCUGCAUCAGUUGCACAGAUGCAGAUUUAAGCCGUAAGACUCGUGGAAAAUCUUCCUUAUGUCCACGCAGGAUCAGAGCCCCAGGGGUGGGCUGAGGUGGACGUGCCAAGAGGCUUCUCCAGGGAUGGCUGAUGCUCAGCACGGCUGACCACUGAGGGCAAAAGGUCUAUCCCAGGUGGGACAGGGGGUCCUCUGCCCUCUGGCCCUAAUGUCUUGAUGGGACGUGAUGGUCACACCACACUCCCCCUUCCUCUGCCUUUGCCUCUUGCUGCCUCCCCUAGCUCUUUGCUGCUGGCACGAUUUAAGUAAUAAAGCCAAUUUUUCAGCCCUGGUCCAAAUUAUUGGGAAAUCUUGCUGUCAGCACCGUGCAGCUGGUAAAUUCCCCUGCAGCGGCUGUCGACAAAGCAAAGGGGUGAGAAAGGCUGCGGUGCUGUCCAUGAGCCUGUGCAGCACAAGCUUGGUGGCCCAGAGCCAUGUGAAGAGCAUGGCUUGCUGAUGAAAAUUAGCAGUAAGAGCCUCAAAGAGUGUUUCUCAAGGUCUCAAAGCAAAAGGAGACCCCACGGGGGGCAAUCCCUGUUUGGUGGGUGGGGAAACUGAGGCACAAAGGGUAGAAAUUAAUGGCCUGGAAAAAGGGCAGGUGGUCUGAAUGUUACUUGCCUGAAAGUUCAGCAAACUGGGAUGCAGAACUUAGGCUUGGUCUAAACCAAUGUUGUCCUGCUCUCAUACACCAAAGCUCCUUUCAGCCUAUUGCCUUCUCCCUUUUCUUUUUUUCUUUUUUUGACCAAAUUGCCAAAAAAAAAAUCUACCAGUCUCGUCUGGUUCUACCUAAAAAUAAGUGCAACCGAGCGCUGCAGGUUUGUGGCAGGAAACUAGGCUCCUGCUGCUUGUUCACGCUCCUCUUUCUCUACCUGGAUGCCAGACCCCAGGUCCCACCAGCGAUGCUGGGCGUUAGCAAGGUUUGGCACCAGCCUUUGGCUUCUGGAAACCAGUCUAUGCACGCAGAGUCCCUUCUGCGCUUGAACUCGAGGCUUCAUUUCCAAAGCCUGGUUUUAACCUUGACCCAGACUUGUGCCUUGCUGCAAAUGCAUGGGGGGAACCUGUUCCCCAGCCCGGGGAAACCCUCAGAUACCGAUGUCCUUCCCGGGGCCCUAACGAGCUCCCGGCAUCCUGCAGUCCCCGGAGACAUGCAGAUGGCCCAUUAGACAGUGCAUUAGGGCUGGGCAGGAGACUUUUAUUCAGACUGGUCAGCCUAAGAUCUAAGAAUCGGGUCAGAUUAGGCUGCCUGAUCCGAAGCUAAUGAGUUGGGCGAUGGCUGGGGGAAUGAAAGUCAAAAAUCAAUAGCCUGGGAAGACCUGAUGCUUUUCCACGUGCUGUUCGUGUAUUUACCGACUCUGUGCAGAGAGCGGGGAAGUUUUAGGAGCCUCCCCUAAAGUCUGGUCAUUAACCCUUGUGUAUUCUCUCCCCCAGUCCAGCUUUCUCUCCCAGGGUGCGGGUGCGAUUCACGCAGCGUGCAUCUUCCCAGAGCAUCACAUUUUCUCCUGGUAGAGGCAUGCUGUGGAGGAGCCUCCUUGCAUCUUCUCAAAGCAUCACCUGCACAGGACAGGAACCGUUCCCUGGUCCAGAAGCACGGGCCAACCAACGUCUGCUCAGCCAAGGUCUCCUUGCCUGUGCCCCGGCAGGAUAACAACAUUAAAACCUGCCUGGGAUUUGUACUUUCUGCAGCUGGAAGAGGAACAACUAACGCCGGAUGAUGCCCGAGUGUCUUUCUCCAAGGCUAACGAUCUUGGGGGUGGUUUAUCUCACCUCUUAUGAGAUAUCUGAAAAUUACAUGUCCAAGGCCAAGCCAGACAUCCCAGGGCAGCGGAGAGAAAUGAGUCUCACAGAACCUGCCUUAGGUGCCUCGCUUCUGACGGCACAGGUCACGAGCUGCAAGUCGUUGGACGGUUUGACUUGAUGAUCCUAGAGGUCUCUUCCAACCUUAAAGAUUCUGUGAUUCUGUAGAUGCUCUUUGAUUUAGGAGUCAUCUCUGCACUCAGGAUUCGCGAUGCUCUUGGUACAGAUAGGUUUUAGUCCACUUAUGCAACUUCAAGGCAGUACAUCAACCCAAACAGAUAACAAGAAGAUGUGAAGUCGUUACCCAUAGGAAUCACUAAUACAAAAAUGACUUAGAGCAGACUAGCGUCUGAAGGACUUGGGACUAAGAUGAGCCAAGCCUGACCUCAGCCUUCUGCAUCUGUACAGCUGAGAUUUCCGAGAGCAGAUUUGUGUCCCAACGACGUGGGUUUCACAGAUGCACACGAUGCUGGAAACGUGGCUGGACCAUGCCACCCACUCUGGAUCCCGAGAGCCUUGUCCCACCCAUGAGUUUCAUCUCGGUCACCGAUGUGAGUGGGGCAUUUCCAGGGUGCUCCCUGUCACACCCCCGUUGUCACACAAUGAGGACAGCUUGUGCUCGGGGGGGGGGGGGGUGAAGCUGUGCGUGCCGGGCACUUCCCAGCUCCAAGGCUGCAGAAUCUUCAGACUGCUGCUUUUGUUUUAAAGUGUGUUGGCGUCCCCUUCUUCAGUAUUGUCUGCCACAGUCCAGGAGUGGAAGGCUUCCGAUUAACACAUCGUGCACGUAACCUGACAUGUUGCCCAGUUUUAAUAUGCUCUUUUAUCAGGUCACGCAGUCCCUUUGAAGGUUCUUUGCAUAUUUCCAGAGCACAAUAUCUACAAACAACUCCCGCUUCCUCCCUUCUCCGUCACUUACACCCAUGUUGACAAUCUAAAUGCUACAUUGCCUGAUCACCAGCAAGUUUCUCUUUUGACUUGUGUCUUCCUGAAUUAAAAGCAGAGCAAAGCAAAACGAGAAGCUUCCGCAAUGAGACUCCUGCCCUGGAAACCACGGCCAACCAAAAUGAUAAAUCUGGCCUCUCCUUCUUCAUGAACUGACUUUCACUUGCCUGAAGCAGGUUGAUGUAGGGGUGGUGCUCACCCCAAUUUGCAUUGCGGUAAAUAAUUGAUAUUUCUGCUUCAACCCUUUUAUUUAGUGCAUUUUUAAAAGUACGACGCAAAAAUUAACCAAAUCGGGUUGCUUUAUUCCCAAGUGAGACUUUGCAUACAGCAAAAUAAUGAAGUGUAAAUAACAGUGUGAGUAGUUAUUGGGGUAAAUACAUGCAGCACCCAAGAAUGCCCAUGCCUACAGAACUUCCCUGCACUUGAGGAGGUGCCAUAUGGAGAUUUCUGCGUUUUCAUCUCCACAUCUCUAACACGCUGGUGUGGACGUAGCCUUUGGCAUUUUUGUCAAGAAAAGACUGACCUCAUUGAAUCCUGUGGAUCAAGGAAUAUGCUAUUUAUUAAAAUUGUGCUUCAACCAAACACAAACUGUUGGACUCAGUUCAGGAGCAACCCGAUGAAACCCCAUGGUCUGUGGGGCAGAAAAGACUGAUGUAUCUUCCGAUUCCUGGGAAGUCCAGGUUUUUGUU